GGACCCGAAGUAAUGAACUAGGACCGACCCGGACCCAUCUGACCAUUUAAAAUAUAAACCCGGAACCGUACGGGUCCCGCGUCCUCAGUGAAGAAAGACCUCUAAUGGUAAAACUCUGCUCAAGUUCAGAAACAUGAAAGGAUACAAUGUGACACUGAGGUUGCUUCGCGUCGCGCCCAAUUCAUUGAGAAACAGAGAGCACGUGAACGGACACUCAACCGGAGAGACACAACGUGCUUGCACGCAAAAUGAAGCCAACUUAGAUGCUAUAAACACAUAUGCACAUAAGCAUAUGCGACCAUUUUGGUCGCAGUGUGUUCCCUGGCUGCUCCGUAUGUGCUGCUGCAGUUGAUCCAGUUUGCCGCGCUGGAUGAUGAGUUUAUGACGCGUGCAUCAUCUUCACGGUCACCCGACCCCCACCUCUCUCUCGCGCUCUCUCUUUCGCGCUCUCUCUCUCUCUCUCUCUCUCUCUCUCCAAAACACGGGUCAUCCAGUCGAGUUCAGAAAAUACGGAAAUUCGUAAAGUGAUUUUUUUUUUUUACCUGGGCGGGUUGCAAUUUACCUGGGCGCAGCGCCCAAGUAGAGCCUAUGUAUGGGAAACACUGAAUACUGUACAAUUACUGACAUAGGCAUGUGCUAUUCAGGUGUCAAAGCUGUGCGAAACUGGAGGGAGAAACUUGAGAGACCGUGCCGGAAGAAUGCUGGACAGUGAACUCUAAAAUACAAAAGACAAAGUUCAACAUGAAUGGUGGUGGUCCACUGCAGAAGCAAGCAUUUGAAAAAACAUCAGUUCUCAGUUAUUAAAGAUGCUGUGUUGAACAACUUCCCAGCAGCAACAGAACUAGAAGUGAAGGAUGCAAUGGGGGCAUUUCAAACAGGCACCAGGGAGCACGGGG